rfam:Ornithorhynchus anatinus chromosome 4, whole genome shotgun sequence.
CCCCUCUCGGGGUCAAAACUGGAGAGUUCCCAGUACUCUACCAGUCCUGACUAAAAGAGGGAGAGUCAGGCAGAGACAUAACUAUUCCAUUCCUAGCUUGGGCAGUGGCUAGCGAGUGGAAGACGAUCCGCUGCAAGU